GAUGAACGCUGGCGGCGUGCCUAAUACAUGCAAGUCGAGCGAACGGACGAGAAGCUUGCUUCUCUGAUGUUAGCGGCGGACGGGUGAGUAACACGUGGAUAACCUACCUAUAAGACUGGGAUAACUUCGGGAAACCGUAGCUAAUACCGGAUAAUAUUUUGAACCGCAUGGUUCAAAAGUGAAAGACGGUCUUGCUGUCACUUAUAGAUGGAUCCGCGCUGCAUUAGCUAGUUGGUAAGGUAACGGCUUACCAAGGCAACGAUGCAUAGCUGACCUAAGAGGGUGAUCGGCCACACUGGAACUGAGACACGGUCCAGACUCCUACGGGAGGCAGCAGUAGGGAAUCGUGCGCAAUGGGCGCAAGCCUGACGGUGCAACGCCGCGUGAGUGAUGAAGGUCUUCGGAUCGUAAAACUCUGUUAUUAGGGAAGAACAUAUGUGUAAGUAAAUGUGCACAUCUUGACGGUACCUAAUCAGAAAGCCGCGGCUAACUACGUG
rnacentral:rRNA from 1 species